AUCUUUUUCAUGGAGGCCGAAAUUAGCAUGAGGGAAGCCAUGGCUAGGGUUUUCAAGCUUUCCAAGCUCAAUAUGUCGCAGAUGUUAGCUCGAGUUGGAGGUCGCCGGAAGUUAAAUCACACUAUCAAACUAUUGAUCGAUAUAUAAAGGUUUUUGUAAAACCCCUUACCCGUAUUCAUUGCCGGAAUAGGGUACAAGGCAUUACUGGAGUUUGCUGAACAUUUUCAGAUAAUUUUGAGUCAUUUAUUAUUCAUAUUUUGAAAUAAUCAUAA